GGAACAGAGACCGACCGGGUGAUAGAGCUCUGUGAUAGUAGGGAGUUGGAACCCUGAUAUACAAGGUCCUUCACGUAGCCGAACCUAGCGUUCUAGCGAUUUGGGAGCGUGGUUUUGAUCAGCGUUGUAUAAGUACUUGUGUAAGUACUAAACUGUAGCCGGGACAUCAUUUUGGUUAUGUAGACACUUGGGAGUUAUGUUUUGUAUUGUGUUGGACGUAGACUCUGAUAUGGUAUGGUAUAAUGAAUGUAAUAGGUUGAAU